GAUGAACGCUGGCGGCGUGCCUAAUACAUGCAAGUCGAGCGAACAGACGAGGAGCUUGCUCCUCUGACGUUAGCGGCGGACGGGUGAGUAACACGUGGAUAACCUACCUAUAAGACUGGGAUAACUUCGGGAAACCGGAGCUAAUACCGGAUAAUAUAUUGAACCGCAUGGUUCAAUAGUGAAAGACGGUUUUGCUGUCACUUAUAGAUGGAUCCGCGCCGCAUUAGCUAGUUGGUAAGGUAACGGCUUACCAAGGCAACGAUGCGUAGCCGACCUGAGAGGGUGAUCGGCCACACUGGAACGGAGACACGGUCAAGACGCCUACGGGAGGCAGCAGUAGGGAAUCUGCCGCAAUGGGCGAAAGCAUGACGGAGCAACGCCGCGUGAGUGAUGAAGGUCUUCGGAUCGUAAAGCUCUGUUAUUAGGGAAGAACAGAUGUGUAAGUAACUAUGCACGUCUUGACGGUACCUAAUCAGAAAGCCACGGCUAACUACGUG
rnacentral:rRNA from 1 species